rnacentral:lncRNA from 1 species
CGGGUUCAAGCGAUUCUCCUGCCUCACCCUCCCAAGUAGCUGAGAUUACAGGUGUGCGCCACCAUGCUUGGCUAAUUUUUGUAUUUUCAGUAGAGGCGAGGUUUCAUCAUGUUGGCCAAGUUGGUCUCGAACUCCUGACCUCAUGAUCUACCCACCUCGGCCUCCCAAAGUGCUGGGAUUACAGGCAUGAGCCACCUUGCUCUGCUGACCAUUUUCAAGUGCUUGCAAAUCUGUCCACCCAGAGAGGACAUAGUAGCACAUUUAAUAAUUAAGAGAAAAGCUUGGUUUUCAGGAACUUUGUCAUCUGAGUUUGAUAAUUAUGAAGGGUAUAAGAAUUCAUUUUAUGGUAUGGUAGGAAAAGAAUAACACUACCUAAAAUGCUCAGAUGAUUUAUUAAGGGUUCUUAUUUGUAGGGACAGCCUCCCAUUUUUCUCUCAUGUGAUGUCCAGCAGGUGGUUCUGACCUGACUAGUACACAUUCUUUAACUAAAGACAGAGCACUGCUAGGCGGCAGACACAGACCUGUGCCCCAGGCUGUAAUGGUGAGACAGGCAUAAUCCCUGAUCAUGGAACCUAUGGGCACAAGGCAGUCAACAGUUAAAUACACACAAUAUUUAUAAGUUACAAUGAAUUAAACGAAGGAAAAGACGAGGAACUAAGAGACAGCCUAAUUGGAGGAUCUCAUUUAGAUUGGGAGGCUGGGGAAAGUCUCCAUGAAGAAGUGUUAUCUACACUGAAACCUGAGAAAAGUUGGUAGAAUUCAGGCCAAAAGUGGGAGAAGGAGCAUUUCAGACAGAGGGAUCAACCUUGUGGAAGCCCUGUGGUGGGAGAGAGCUUAGAAUUGAAAUGAGGUUAGGGGCCACCACAGGGAAACUGGAGACACAUAAGUGAUGGGAGCUUGGCCAGGACCAACUUCCUGUAGGCAUUCCAAUUGCAAUUGCCAUUUAUAAGUUUUCAGCAGAUAAAUCAUAUGGUCGAACUUAGGUCCUAACACAUCUGUCUACUGCUAAAUAGAAGAAUGGGUGCCACUUAAGAAUGGGUUCAAUGUAACGAGGGCAAAAGUAGAAGUGAGGAGACCAGCUGUGAGGCUAUUGCAGUGGUCCUGGUGUAGGAUGUGGGUGGCUUGGACUUGGGUAAUGGCAGUGAAUUGACAGACAUGAGUGAAACUGUGAGAUGUUUUAGGAGUAGAAUUGUUAGGACAUGCGGAUCAACUGUAUAUACAGAGUGAGAAAGGGAAAGGGUACUCUCGUGUUUCAGGGUGUCUGAAUUGGUUUACUGAUAUCUGGGGGGAUCAGAAGAGUUCAGGUCCAGCCAGGUUGCAAUUGAGAUGCCUCUGAGACAUCCAAUAGGAGGAUGUCAUUGGAUACAGGAGUUAGGAGCUUAGAUACACACUUGGGAGAACUCGGCACAGGUGGUAUGAAAGUGGUGGGCUGGUGAGAUUGCCUAGGGAGAGAAAACACGGAGAGGAGUCCCAGGGCUGAGCCCAGACCUCUGAACAGAAGAAGGAGUCAUGGAGAAACCCAGAAGAAUGAGGUGUCACAGGCAAAGAAAAAUUGGAUGCUCCGGAAGGAGAGAGGUCUGUCUCACGAAGAGAGAUAAAAGCAGCUGGGACCACAUAGAGGUAAUUGUUGAUGCUGAUGAGAGAAGAGGGCGGAGGGUGGAAAAGGAAGGGAGCCACUGAGCUGAGAAUGGGAGACAGGAAAGAAACAGCAUUCUGUGGUCAGCCUGGUGAGAAAUGUGGCUCUCAGAAAGCAGAGAGAGAACAGUUGGAGGAGCUCAUGGGCACACGGGGGAUGUCUGACUGGUUGUGUUUUCUGUUGGAAAAUAUUAGAGCUCCUCUGUGUGUUAGGGAAGGGUCAAGUAGAGAGGGCAAGGGAGAAGAUGCUGGAAUGAGGAGAGCCAAGGUCCUGAGGACACCUGACCUUGGCACUACACAGGACCUGCAGCCCAGACGCUUCCUAAGCAAGCCUCUUGCCUGGGGAAUAAAGAGCUGAUUUUUCCAGUGACUUCAUGGGCACUGGGGUCCUAUGGAACCUCUAAGGGGAAGGAGCAAGAGAAACAGAUGUUCUUUCUUCCCUGUAGAGGGAGGAAGAGGGAAGACAAAGAUGAAAAAGGGAAGAAAGGAGGAAGGAAGGGAGAAAGGAGAAAACAAAGAUGGCCAGUCUUCUCUUCUCCCCAGGUGGUUGGGAUAACAGCGAGGCCAAAUCCCAGAUGAUAUGGGGGAGGGCUGCAACCUCUCAGGAGGGCUGUCUCCCCCAGAAAAAGCCUAGGACUUACCUAGACUUAGGAGGUUGUCAUCAAGCCUUGUCUUUCCUGCAGACCUCAACGUCUUGUCAGUCCAGAAAAACUUCAAGGGCAGCAGCCAGAAUCCCAGGGCUGAGAAACCUGACUUUCCUCUCUUUGUACCUCCCAAUUCCCCUCCUAGGUCCUGAGCCACAGGGAAUUGUGUGAUUUCAAUGAGCUAUGGCAAGAGCAUUUUCCCUUCCCAUCAACUCAGUCACGUUUCCUGUAGUGGAGACGGGAGCAUGGGGAGGGAGGAGCGGGAGAAAGAAGGCUUACCCUGGCAGUAUUCAUUCACUCUCUGAGGCAUGAGAUUUGAUUACCAGUCUUUUAACAUGCAUGACAGCAAAUGCUAAUAUUUGCCACAGAAUUUUCUAGCCACCUUUUAAAUCCAUCUACAGUGUUAGGCUCUUUGACCCCUAGAGGUAGGGAAUGCCACAGGCUGCCUUCAUGCUACUGAACGUUGUUGCCUCCUCUAUAGCAAUAAAGCUUUUCUUGAAAUAUAAGGCAUAAGAACAAAGAAAAUUCCAGAUUUCUGGGAGUAAAUACUACAGUUCAUUAAACCACCUGCUUACUUCAUACAAGCUAGCAAUGACUCUCCAGUCUCCCGCCUAAAACUCCAGUUAGUCUUCUGUGCAUGAGAUGUCUUUUCUAUUGUGAUUGCCAUUCUUGGCUCAUUGUUUGAAAAGGGAUAUUACAAAUAAAAAUAACAACCAUCCCUGGUUAAUAUGCUUAUUACUUUACACAUCUUUCUCAACUUUUUCCAAACUUACUGGUAGACCAGAAAGAAAUCUAACUUCUUUUAGGCUUGAGUUCCAUUGUCUAAAAGUAGUAACCAUUUUCUUUCUUUCUCCCUUUUUCUUUUCUUUUCUUUUUUUUCUUUUGAGAAGAAGUUUUGCUCUUGUUGCCCAGGCUAGAGUGCAGUGGUGCAAUCUCGGCUCACUGCAACCUCUGCCUUCCAGUUUCAAGUGAUUCUCCUGCCUCAGCCUCCCAAGUAGCUGGGAUUCCAGGCGCCUGCCACCACACCCUGCUAAUUUUUGUAUGUUUAGUAGAGACGGGGUUUCACCAUGUUGCCCAGGCUGGUCUCAAACUCCUGACCUCAUGAUCUGCCCACCUCGCCCUCCCAAGGUGCUGGGAUUACAGAUGUGAGCCACUGCGCCUGGCCAGCACUUGUCACACUGCAUAAUAUAACCUAGACAAUAGUGGCAUACAAAGAAAUAACAACUGAACAUAACCAUCCACUAUGGAACCACUAAUGAGUGCCCUACCUUUUGAAGGCUUCUUAAAAACUAAAAUACAGACAAGGAUAAAGGGCAAGCCUGCAGGAAAAGUCAAUAGAACCUCACAAUGCGAAGACUUAACCCCUGUCGCUAUCAACUCAGAUUUUCGAGUUGUAUCACCAGCCAGAACCUUCUCCACUUGUCUAGAGCCAAGUGCCACAUCAGAGCCUGGCAAAAAAAAAAAAAGAAAGAAAGAAAAAAGAAAAAGAAAAAAAGAAAAAAAAAGAAAAUUGCUUUUUCUCCAUGCUGAGUGAAGAUAUAAACUUAGAAGCU